rnacentral:rRNA from 1 species
GACAGAGGGUGCAAACGUUGUUCGGAAUUACUGGGCGUAAAGCGUGUGUAGGCUGCUCCGCAAGUCGGAUGUGAAAGCCCUGGGCUCAACCUAGGAAGUGCAUUCGAAACUGCGGAGCUCGAGUCCUGGAGAGGAAGGCGGAAUUCUCGGUGUAGAGGUGAAAUUCGUAGAUAUCGAGAGGAACACCGGUGGCGAAGGCGGCCUUCUGGACAGUGACUGACGCUGAGACACGAAAGCGUGGGGAGCAAACAGG